rnacentral:pre_miRNA from 1 species
UUGUCUAAAUACGGAUGUAUCUAGUUACAUUUUAGUGUUAGAUACAUCCAUAUCUAAACAAAUGUAAGACAAGAAUUUUGGGACGGAGGGAAUACUAC